rnacentral:piRNA from 1 species
UCAAAUCGAUGAGAUUGUCACUGAGACCCUGU